rnacentral:rRNA from 1 species
UUAGGAAUUUUGCGCAAUGGGCGAAAGCCUGACGCAGCAACGCCGCGUGAGGGAAGAAGGCUUUCGGGUUGUAAACCUCUUUUAGCAAGGACGAACACAAUGACGGUACUUGCAGAAAAAGCACCGGCUAACUACGUGCCAGCAGCCGCGGUAAUACGUAGGGUGCAAGCGUUAUUCGGAUUUAUUGGGCGUAAAGCGCAUGCAGGCGGUUUGGUAAGUCUGAUGUGAAAGCCCUCGACUCAAUCGAGGAAGUGCAUUGGAUACUGUCAGACUAGAGUGCAGGAGGGGUGAGCGGAAUUCCGGGUGUAGAGGUGAAAUUCGUAGAUAUCCGGAGGAACAACAGCGGCGAAGGCGGCUCACUGGACUGUAACUGACGCUCAGAUGCGAUAGUGUGGGGAACGAACA